rnacentral:rRNA from 1 species
AAAUUGAAGAGUUUGAUCAUGGCUCAGAUUGAACGCUGGCGGCAGGCCUAACACAUGCAAGUCGAGCGGUAGCACAGGAGAGCUUGCUC